rnacentral:rRNA from 1 species
AUUGAACGCUGGCGGCAUGCUUUACACAUGCAAGUCGAACGGUAACAGGCCGCAAGGUGCUGACGAGUGGCGAACGGGUGAGUAAUGCAUCGGAACGUGCCCAGUCGUGGGGGGUAACUACUCGAAAGAGUAGCUAAUACCGCAUACGAUCUAUGGAUGAAAGCGGGGGACCGUAAGGCCUCGCGCGAUUGGAGCGGCCGAUGUCAGAUUAGGUAGUUGGUGGGGUAAAGGCUCACCAAGCCAACGAUCUGUAGCUGGUCUGAGAGGACGACCAGCCACACUGGGACUGAGACACGGCCCAGACUCCUACGGGAGGCAGCAGUGGGGAAUUUUGGACAAUGGGCGCAAGCCUGAUCCAGCAAUGCCGCGUGCAGGAAGAAGGCCUUCGGGUUGUAAACUGCUUUUGUACGGAACGAAACGGCUCUGGUUAAUACCCGGGGCUAAUGACGGCACCGUAAGAAUAAGCACCGGCUAACUACGUG